GGUAGUGACGAGAGAGAGGAAGAUCAUUUAAAAAACAAGAUCCUGACUAUUACUAGAGGACUUUCUCCAAGCCGUUUCGCCACUUGGUUUAAAUCUGGAGCAGCAAACCUGUGUUCCAGAAUCUGGGGUGGAGGACCCCUACCUGACAUGUGACUGGGUGGGGGGGGUCAGAGGUGGUGGCAGACAGACGGAGAGAGAGAGAGAGAGAGAGAGAGAGAGAGAGAAGAA